rnacentral:rRNA from 1 species
GACGAACGCUGGCGGCGUGCCUAACACAUGCAAGUCGAACGAAGUGGCGAACGGGUGAGUAACGCGUAAUCAACCUGCCCUUCAGAGGGGGACAACAGUUGGAAACGACUGCUAAUACCGCAUACUGAAGGAGGGGAUUGCGUCUGAUUUGCUAGUUGGAGGGGUAACGGCCCACCAAGGCGAUGAUCAGUAGCCGGUCUGAGGGGGUGAACGGCCAAAUGGGGACUGAGGCACGGCCCAAACUCCUACGGGGGGGAGGAGUGGGGGAUCUUCCGCAAUGGACGAAAAGCUGACGGAGCAACGGCGCGUGGGUGAUGACGGCCUUCGGGUUGUAAAAGUCUGUUAAUCGGGACGCGUUACCGGAAGAGAAAGCCACGGCUAACUACGUGCCAGCAGCCGCGGUAAUUC